rnacentral:ncRNA from 1 species
GAGUUAAAAUGCGGGUAAUUGUCACAUUACUUCAUUGUUGAAGCUUAUUACAGUGAGUUAGUUUAGUUUUAUUAACUUAUUUUGUUUUUUAAAAAAUAUAUAGUGUUCAAAGCAGGCUCUCGAGCCUGGAUAAUGGUGCAUGGAAUAAAAAAAUUUGACCUCGGUUUUAUUUUGUUGGUUUUCGGAGCGCGAGGUAAUGAUUAAGAGGGACAGACGGGGGCAUUCGUACUGUGCCGUUAGAGGUGAAAUUCUUGAAUCGGCGCAAGACGAACGACUGCGAUAGCAUUUGCAAAAAAUGUUUUCUUUAAUCAUAAGCGAGCGUCUC